UGCAGCUGGCCACAUCAUCCAGAAACAACGAAAAUCCAUUGGUAUCUUCAACUGUUUACGCUCAAAAUCUCAGCAGUCAGCUGCGACACACAGAGGGGUGUGCCUACAAUAACAGAUGGUCUUUCUUUUUGUUCUGUUCUGUGUUGCUUUCCCGCAAUUCGUGUGUGCGAAAAGAGAUUGCCAAUCGAAGCUCUGUUGAGCUACUUCCGCGUAAUCAACAGUCACGAUCACUCAGGAUACGGGGAAUACUGUGCCGAACCGAUUCAUUCGGCGUCAUCGUAAUCAGUCGAUUAUGCAGUAAUUUUCCUGAGCAAGAAACGCGCCGAAACUGCAAAUCUCGUGUGAACUGAAAGCUCCAGCGGUCGGAUUGGCCUAAGUUUGAUCAGAGGAAGAAGCUGCCGGCAGACAAGCAAACCCAUUCAUAAACAGUUCCUACAAGUACUCACUUAUUUGCAGCUGUUAUCUAACAUGACGGGGGUCGAUCGAUUAAACGGGAGAAUCAUUAUCGUGCUGAUCAAUCAUCCGCCGACGAUACCUAGAAUCGCCCCAAGUUAAAAUUGCUCCCAAUUUAACGCCGAUGCUCGCUCUUCGAUUGUACAUAGAUACUAUUAUUACGUCACAGUUAGCGGUGUAAUGGUGCUAUUAUAACUAUUAUAGCCAUCGCCCCUUUUACUAUUGUUCUGUAAUAACUGCAGCGCUGCCGGGCUUCGAAGAAACUGAUGGGCAAGUCACUUCGUAGAAAACCGUUUGUUUUCACGAGCAAUCGUUGGAUGAAGAUAGUCGUCUGCUACUGCAAUUUAUGCGUUUCUGCAAUUCGGUGCAAAGGCACCGGCUAUUCAACUGUUCGUCUACCCUGACUACCCCAACAUCAAGUCUACCCCGACUUUCCGUCAUCCCACCAACAGCGUUCCCAUGCAUGACGCCUUACGCGGUCCAUGACGGUUCAUCAUCGUUUUUUAUUCCUACGGUCUGAUCCUGAUUACCCAUCCCCCGUGCCCGGACAGUCAAAAUACUGUCAUGCACGUAGAAGUUGAAAAAUUGACCAAAUUGGUCGAAGUGACAAGCAUUAUAGUGGCGCGGACGCGUGUGACUAUCCGGUAUGCGAUUUCGCCUGCCUAACCAUUUUUUGGGGGCAGACGAUAUAAUGUGCAUUGGUAUUUUCCCGCGUAAUUUUCUCCUCCAGCCGCUACCUGGCAAAAUAACAAUCAUCAUCAUCAUCGACGUGGUCGUCACGUUUAUGACAACAGUGAUACGAAUUACAAAAAUACAGCAGUUCGCUCUCACGUAUGAAAGCCCAGGUCUGUUCAUGUAAAACUAGGCAUUACUACGCGUGAGUAUUAACCGACGCGGUGACGCGUCCAACAUUGUGGCUCCAUCGUGAUGGAACAAAGAGACGGAAAAGGAAAAAAACAGCUGUGGGAAAAAUGGCGAAAGCAAGUAUUAGCUACCAAGAACUGUUUAGUCAGCGGGUCUGCCUGAUCCGCUGGCUUG